CCUACGGGAGGCAGCAGUGGGGAAUAUUGCACAAUGGGCGAAAGCCUGAUGCAGCAACGCCGCGUGGAGGAUGAAGGUUUUAGGAUCGUAAACUUCUGUUAAGUGGGAAGAAAGGCCGAAAGUUAAUACCUUUCGGAGAUGACGGUACCACUAGAGAAAGCACCGGCAAACUUCGUGCCAGCAGCCGCGGUAAUACGAGGGGUGCAAGCGUUAUUCGGAAUUACUGGGCGUAAAGAGUGUGAAGGCGGUUUUUCAAGUCAGUUGUUAAAGCACCCGGCUUAACUGGGUAUCAGCAGUUGAAACUGAAAGGCUAGAGCGCAAGAGAGAGAAGUGGAAUUCUCGGAGUAGCGGUAAAAUGCGUAGAUCUCGAGAGGAACACCGGUGGCGAAGGCGGCUUCUUGGCUUGUUGCUGACGCUCAAACACGAAAGCGUGGGGAGCAAACAGGAUUAGAUACCCUGGUAGUCCACGCCGUAAACGAUGAUCACUGGAUGUGGGUUUUGCUUAGCAAGAUCCGUGUCGAAGCUAACGCGUUAAGUGAUCCGCCUGGGGAGUACGGUCGCAAGAUUAAAACUCAAAGGAAUUGACGGGG
rnacentral:rRNA from 1 species